rnacentral:rRNA from 1 species
ACUUUCAUCCAACCCCCGGGCGUACUAUAAACCGCAUCAGGUCUCCAAGGUGAAUAGCCUCUAGUGCAUAGAAGAAUGUAGGCAAGGGAAGUCGGCAAAAUAGAAUCGUAACUUUGGGAUAAGAUUUGGCUCGAAAGACGCGGUGUUUCGUGCCUUGGAGAGACUUGGAAUCAGGCUAGGAUGGGGGCCUCGCAAGGGGCUUCUGUCUUGGUUACGGCUCCCUGGCUCUCCUUGGUUUCGUUCACAAUCAAGCGUUAUUUUCGAACUGGUACGAACAAGGGGAAUCCGACUGUUUAAUUAAAACAAAGCAUUGCGAUAGUUUGUAAUAAAUGUUGACGCAAUGUGAUUUCUGCCCAGUGCUCUGAAUGUCAAGUUGAAGAAAUUCAAUCAAGCGCGGGUAAACGGCGGGAGUAACUAUGACUCUCUUAAGGUAGCCAAAUGCCUCGUCAUCUAAUUUGUGACGCGCACGAAUGGAUUAAUGAGAUUCCCACUGUCCCUGUCUACCAUCUAGCGAAUCCACAGCCAAGGGAACGGGCUUGGAAAAGAAAGCGGGGAAAGAAGACCCUGUUGAGCUUGACUCUAGUCUGCUAUUGUGAAGGAACCUUGCGAGUGUAGCGUAGGGAGGAGGCCUUAAAACCGAUCUUGAAACACUCCCAUCGUGAGCGUUCCUUUACUUACUGGGUGACGCGUUGACUCUCCGGAAACGGGGUGGUUUAUGAAUCAAGUCUAGACUUUUGUCUAGGCGAGACGAGUCCAGAACACUAGCAGGUGGGGAGUUUGACUGGGGCGGUACAAGUGUGAAACAAUAGCACACUUGACCUAAGGACAGCUCAGUUUCGACGGAAACGAAACGUAGACCAUAAGGGGAAAAGCUGUCUUGAUUCUACUUUUCAGUGUGAAUGCGAACCAUGAAAGUGUGGCCUAACGAUCCUUUAUGUGCGGAGCGCUUCCGCCUAGAGGUGCCAGAAAAGUUACCACAGGGAUAACUGGCUUGUGGCAGCCAAGCGUCCAAAGCGACGUUGCUUUUUGAUCCUUCGAUGUCGGCUCUUCUCAUCAUUGGGUUGCAGUAGGCCCAAAGUGUUAGAUUGUUCACCUAUAAACGAGGAACGUGAGCUGGGUUUAGACCGUCGUGAGACAGGUUAGUUUUACCCUACUUUCGGUUGUCUUUGUUGACGCUACUCGGAUUAAGUACGAGAGGAACUACCCGGGGGAGCAUUUGGUUCAUGGGUUCGUCGAUCGACGAGGGCCCAGAAGCUACGCUCCACACGCUAAAUCCUGAAAGCCUCUAAGGAUGAAGCGUCGGCGAACAUUACAAAGAAGUGUAGGAAUUUU